CACACUAUUCGUGGCUUCUCUACGGAACCCAUUAUUAAGCAUCGCAAUGCUUACUGAAAAUUAUGGUUCUCUGAACUGGACGUAACUAUGUGAACACAACAGGAUGCUUCUUCUCAACAGCAGAAGGCUAGCCAAGAAACUAUGAGAACCCGAAAAGCAAGAUCGCUGCAAUUCCAAUCCCAGAUGAAGAAAUGUGAGGUGCAAAUUUCAAGGUUUAUGUAUAGAAGAAGAAGUUAUAUGUUUCAGCAUUGUGAAAGAUCAGCUAAUGUUGCAGCCACAGAAAAAUAUUUGUCCUCAGCGCUCAUCUUAUACCAAGAUAACUGGCGAGUGAGAAGAAAGGGUCAGGAAGCUUUGUACUUACGUUUGAGUGUUAGCCAGGCUAGUAUUCCAGUGUCAUGUCGUAUCGUAAAUAGACAAGUUGAACCAGCUAGUCAUUAACUUUACCAAUGCAACUGCAAGUAAUAAAACAUCUUCCGUGUAUGCCCAGAUCCAGAUAAAAGAAGUGCUCCGUUCCUUUUCUUUGUUUUCUGUCUCGCUGGAGAGCAAGUCAUUAGUAG
rnacentral:misc_RNA from 1 species